GACGGAGGGUGCAAGCGUUGUUCGGAUUGACUGGGCGUAAAGGGCGUGUAGGCGGUUGGUUAAGUCGGGUGUGAAAGCCUGAGGCUCAGCCUCAGAAGUGCAUCCGAAACUAGCCAGCUGGAGCGCGAUAGAGGAGGGUGGAAUUCCUGGUGUAGCGGUGAAAUGCGUAGAUAUCAGGAGGAACACCGGCGGCGAAGGCGGCCCUCUGGAUCGUUGCUGACGCUGAGACGCGAAAGCGUGGGGAGCAAACAGG
rnacentral:rRNA from 1 species